UUUGCGUUUUGGGGACCGAAAUAAGGUGGAAUUCGAGCGGUAGCACAGAGGAGCUUGCUCUUUGGGUGACGAGCGGCGGACGGGUGAGUAAUGUCUGGGAAACUGCCUGAUGGAGGGGGAUAACUACUGGAAACGGUAGCUAAUACCGCAUAACCUCGCAAGAGCAAAGAGGGGGACCUUCGGGCCUCUCGCCAUCAGAUGUGCCCAGAUGGGAUUAGCUAGUAGGUGAGGUAAUGGCUCACCUAGGCGACGAUCCCUAGCUGGUCUGAGAGGAUGACCAGCCACACUGGAACUGAGACACGGUCCAGACUCCUACGGGAGGCAGCAGUGGGGAAUAUUGCACAAUGGGCGCAAGCCUGAUGCAGCCAUGCCGCGUGUGUGAAGAAGGCCUUCGGGUUGUAAAGCACUUUCAGCGGGGAGGAAGGCGGUAAGGUUAAUAACCUUGUCGAUUGACGUUACCCGCAGAAGAAGCACCGGCUAACUCCGUGCCAGCAGCCGCGGUAAUACGGAGGGUGCAAGCGUUAAUCGGAAUGACUGGGCGUAAAGCGCACGCAGGCGGUCUGUUAAGUUGGAUGUGAAAUCCCCGGGCUUAACCUGGGAACUGCAUUCAAAACUGACAGGCUAGAGUCUUGUAGAGGGGGGUAGAAUUCCAGGUGUAGCGGUGAAAUGCGUAGAGAUCUGGAGGAAUACCGGUGGCGAAGGCGGCCCCCUGGACAAAGACUGACGCUCAGGUGCGAAAGCGUGGGGAGCAAACAGGAUUAGAUACCCUGGUAGUCCACGCUGUAAACGAUGUCGAUUUGGAGGUUGUGCCCUUGAGGCGUGGCUUCCGGAGCUAACGCGUUAAAUCGACCGCCUGGGGAGUACGGCCGCAAGGUUAAAACUCAAAUGAAUUGACGGGGGCCCGCACAAGCGGUGGAGCAUGUGGUUUAAUUCGAUGCAACGCGAAGAACCUUACCUACUCUUGACAUCCAGAGAACUUAGCAGAGAUGCUUUGGUGCCUUCGGGAACUCUGAGACAGGUGCUGCAUGGCUGUCGUCAGCUCGUGUUGUGAAAUGUUGGGUUAAGUCCCGCAACGAGCGCAACCCUUAUCCUUUGUUGCCAGCGAUUCGGUCGGGAACUCAAAGGAGACUGCCGGUGAUAAACCGGAGGAAGGUGGGGAUGACGUCAAGUCAUCAUGGCCCUUACGAGUAGGGCUACACACGUGCUACAAUGGCGUAUACAAAGAGAAGCGACCUCGCGAGAGCAAGCGGACCUCAUAAAGUACGUCGUAGUCCGGAUUGGAGUCUGCAACUCGACUCCAUGAAGUCGGAAUCGCUAGUAAUCGUAGAUCAGAAUGCUACGGUGAAUACGUUCCCGGGCCUUGUACACACCGCCCGUCACACCAUGGGAGUGGGUUGCAAAAGAAGUAGGUAGCUUAACCUUCGGGAGGGCGCCUUACUCCGUUCCGGGUCGCUGGUGUAC
rnacentral:rRNA from 1 species